rnacentral:rRNA from 1 species
GACGAACGCUGGCGGCGUGCUUAACACAUGCAAGUCGAGCGAUGAAGUUCCUUCGGGAAUGGAUUAGCGGCGGACGGGUGAGUAACACGUGGGUAACCUGCCUCAUAGAGGGGAAUAGCCUUCCGAAAGGAAGAUUAAUACCGCAUAAGGUUGUAGUACCGCAUGGUACAGCAAUUAAAGGAGCAAUCCGCUAUGAGAUGGACCCGCGUCGCAUUAGCUAGUUGGUGAGGUAACGGCUCACCAAGGCGACGAUGCGUAGCCGACCUGAGAGGGUGAUCGGCCACAUUGGGACUGAGACACGGCCCAGACUCCUACGGGAGGCAGCAGUGGGGAAUAUUGCACAAUGGGGGAAACCCUGAUGCAGCAACGCCGCGUGAGUGAUGACGGUCUUCGGAUUGUAAAACUCUGUCUUCAGGGACGAUAAUGACGGUACCUGAGGAGGAAGCCACGGCUAACUAUGUGCCAGCAGCCGCCGUAA